UACAGAGGGUGCAAGCGUUGUUCGGAAUUAUUGGGCGUAAAGGGCGUGUAGGCGGUUUGCUAAGUCAUGUGUGAAAUCCCCAGGCUCAACCUGGGAACUGCGUCCGAUACUGGAUGGCUUGAGUGCAGGAGAGGGAUGCGGAAUUCCAGGUGUAGCGGUGAAAUGCGUAGAUAUCUGGAGGAACACCGGUGGCGAAGGCGGCAUCCUGGACUGUAACUGACACUGAGGAACGAAAGCCAGGGGAGCAAACGGG
rnacentral:rRNA from 1 species